AGAACAGGGGCUGGCUAUUCAUCGUCUCAGAGCAUAGAGACCCUCUCCUUGCCACCCGGCCCUUCCUACCUGGUUGGUGACAAAUCACAAGGUGGUAGAAGUUGCCAGGGACAGAUAACAUGGCAGCCAGCGGGAAGACCAGCAAUUUCGAACCGAACCAUGUUAUCUUCAAGAAGAUCUCCCGGGACAAAUCGGUGAGUGGUGCACAAGUGACCAUCUACCUGGGGAAGAGAGACUACAUAGACCAUGUCAGCCAAGUCCAGCCUGUGGAUGGUGUCGUGUUGGUUGAUCCUGAUCUUGUGAAGGGAAAGAAAGUUUCCUGACUACUUGCCCUGUUCAGUGAUGUUGCAGCCAGCUCCACAAGAUUCAGGGAAGUCCUGUGGGGUUGACUUUGAGGUCAAAGCAUUCGCCACAGACAGCACCGAUGCCGAAGAGGACAAAAUCCCCAAGAAGUAAGAGUAUGGUUGCGGAAUAAGUGAGGGGUCUGCGGUGGGGGUGGAGAGAAGAGACGGCCCCCAUCUUGUCUCUGUGGGACAGACCUCUUCCCGUAGGGCUGGCACGGCUGGGGUACCAUCUGCAUGUGGGAUGGAGGUCAAAGGUUGAUCAUUUUUGGGGAAAAAAAGGAAAACAAGAAAAUGACAGGGAAGUUAGCAACCUCCAGGGCUCAUGUAAGCCCCGAAAAGCUCCCGGGUUUCCCCUUUGUUUAGAUUUUGUUGUUGUUGUUGUUUGUUUGUUUUUUGUGGUAAAAUAUACACAAUAUGAAGUUUGCCAUUUUAACCACUUUUUUUUUCUUUUUUUCUUUUAUUUUUUGAAGUGGAGCCUUGCUGUGUCCCCCAGGCUGGAGUGCAAUGUGACCUCGGUUCACUGCAACCUCUGCCUCCCAGAUUCAAGCGAUUCUCCUGCCUCAGCCUCCCGAGUAGCUGGGAUUACAGGCGUGUGCCACCACGCCUGGCUAAUUUUUUUUUUUUUUUGUAUAUUUAGUAGAGAUGGGUUUCACCAUGUUGGCCGGGCUGGUCUCGAACUCCUGACCUCGUCACCCACCCACAUUGGCCUCCCAAAAUGCUGGGAUUACAGGCGUGAGCCACUGUGCCCGGCCCAUUUUAACCACUUUUAAAUGUACCAUUCAGUGGCUUAAGUACAUUCUGAAUGUUGUGUAGCCUUCACCACUGUCUAUACCCAAAACUUUCCCAUUGCCCGAGCAGGAACUCUACAACCAUUAAGCCUUCCACUCCAUCCCCCCCAUUCUCCCACCCCCUGUGCUGUUUUCUUUUUUCACCUAAACAAGAUUUCCGCCUGGCCCGUCACACUGUCUCCUCAUACCCCAUGUACACAUCUCUGGAGGCGCAGGAUAGAGAGCUGCAGUAAUGGAGCUUGCAUGUAUAUGGCAGCUAUUCCAUGAGGCCCUUGACGCCCUCACACCUCAGCCUCGCUGAUAGGAGGCAGAGCUGGGAACCCACGGAGCCUAAGAGGCUAAGCUUGGCCCUCGGGAUGUUGCCAGGCCCCACAGCUUCCCCCACAGGGAAGGGACCAGAAACCAGACCCCCAGGCUCUUCCACCAUCAGGGCUGCCUCAGGCUCUGACCAGUGUCCUUGCCCUCUUCCCGUCCACCCUGUCUCCGUGGGGAGCGUUCCUGGAGAAUCUCCGUGUGACGGUGGGGAGAGAACAGAGGCCUCCCUGAAGCGGCCUGGGUGCCAAUCCCUGGCUUGUCUGUGGCUGCUCCCCGCAGGAGCUCCGUGCGAUUACUGAUCCGCAAAGUACAGCAUGCCCCACUUGAGAUGGGUCCCCAGCCCCGAGCUGAGGCGGCCUGGCAGUUCUUCAUGUCUGACAAGCCCCUGCACCUUGCGGUCUCGCUCAACAAAGAGAUCUAUUUCCAUGGGGAGCCCAUCCCUGUGACCGUGACUGUCACCAAUAACACAGAGAAGACCGUGAAGAAGAUUAAAGCAUUCGUGGAACAGGUGGCCAACGUGGUUCUCUACUCGAGUGAUUAUUACGUCAAGCCCGUGGCUAUGGAGGAAGCGCAAGAAAAAGUGCCGCCAAACAGCACUUUGACCAAGACACUGACGCUACUGCCCUUGCUGGCUAACAAUCGAGAAAGGAGAGGCAUUGCCCUGGAUGGGAAAAUCAAGCAUGAGGACACAAACCUUGCCUCCAGCACCAUCAUUAAGGAGGGCAUAGACCGGACCGUCCUGGGGAUCCUGGUGUCUUACCAGAUCAAGGUGAAGCUUACGGUGUCAGGCUUUCUGGGAGAGCUCACCUCCAGUGAAGUCGCCACUGAGGUCCCAUUCCGCCUCAUGCACCCUCAGCCUGAGGACCCAGCUAAGGAAAGUUAUCAGGAUGCAAAUUUAGUUUUUGAGGAGUUUGCUCGCCAUAAUCUGAAAGAUGCAGGAGAAGCUGAGGAGGGGAAGAGAGACAAGAAUGACAUUGAUGAGUGAAGAUGUCAGCUCAGGAUGCCGGAAAAUGACCUGUAGUUACCAGUGCAACGAGCAAAGCCUCACAGUUUAGUCCUUUGGAGUUAUGCUACAUAUGAAAGGAUGAGUCUUAUUCCGAGAAAUAAAGCUUGUUUGUUCUCCCCUGG
rnacentral:sRNA from 1 species